rnacentral:rRNA from 1 species
CAGCCGCCGCGGGAAUACGAAGGGGGCUAGCGUUGCUCGGAAUGACUGGGCGUAGAGGGCGCGUAGGCGGUUUUGACAGUCAGAUGUGAAAUUCCUGGGCUUAACCUGGGGGCUGCAUUUGAGACGUCAAGACUAGAGUGUGAGAGAGGGUUGUGGAAUUCCCAGUGUAGAGGUGAAAUUCGUAGAGAUCGGGAGGAACAUCAGUGGCGAAGGCGGCCAUCUGGGACAACACUGACGCUGAGGCACGAAAGCGUGGGGAGCAAACAGGAUUAGAUACCCCCGUAGUCCCUGUCUCUUAUAC